UACGUAGGGUGCAGGCGUUAAUCGGAAUUACUGGGCGUAAAGCGUGCGCAGGCGGUUUGCUAAGACAGGUGUGAAAUCCCCGGGCUUAACCUGGGAAUUGCGCUUGUAACUGGCAAGCUAGAGUGUGGCAGAGGGGGGUGGAAUUCCACGUGUAGCAGUGAAAUGCGUAGAUAUGUGGAGGAACACCGAUGGCGAAGGCAGCCCCUGGGUUAACACUGACGCUCAGGCACGAAAGCGUGGGGAGCAAACAGGAUUAGAAACCCCGGUAGU
rnacentral:rRNA from 1 species